rnacentral:rRNA from 1 species
AAUAAGGGCGCGACUAACUACGAUAAGCUUUGGUGAGCGGUAAGUACGCUAUGACCCAAAGAUUUCCGAAUGGGGAAACCCAACUCGUAAGAGUUGUCUGUAUCUGAAUACAUAGGAUAUUUGACGGAAUACGCUGUG